rnacentral:rRNA from 1 species
GACGAACGCUGGCGGCGUGCUUAACACAUGCAAGUUGAACGAAGUGGCGGAUGGGCGAGUAACACGUGAGGAACCUGCCUUUCACAGGGGAAUAACACUGGGAAACCAGUGCUAAUACCGCAUAGUGAAAGAUGGCCUCGCGCCUGAUUAGCUAGUAGGUGAGGUAACGGCCCACCCAGGUGAUGAUCAGUAGCCGUGCUGAAGUGUCAUCGGCCGCAUGGGGACUGAGACACCGCCCAGCCCCCUACGGGAGGCAGGAGUGGGGAAUAUUGGGCAAUGGCGCAAGCCUGACCCAGCAACGCCGCGUGAAGUAAGACGGUCUUCGGAGUGUACACUUCUUUAGACAGGGGCGCGGUACCUGUAGAAUAAGCCACGGCUAACUACGUGCCAGCAGCCGCGGUAAUAC